UAGCUCAAUGGUUAAGAGCACUGUUCUCCAGAGGACCUGGGUUCGAUUCCCAG
rnacentral:tRNA from 1 species